UACAGAGGGGGCAAGCGUUAUUCGGAAUUAUUGGGCGUAAAGGGCGCGUAGGCGGCCUUUCAAGUGACGGGUGAAAUCCCUCGGCUUAACCGAGGAACUGCCUGUCAGACUGGAAGGCUUGAGACCGGGAGAGGUGAGUGGAAUUCCCAGUGUAGCGGUGAAAUGCGUAGAUAUUGGGAGGAACACCAGUGGCGAAGGCGGCUCACUGGACCGGAACUGACGCUGAGGCGCGAAGGCCAGGGGAGCAAACGGG
rnacentral:rRNA from 1 species